rnacentral:rRNA from 1 species
GUCCGUCGGGAAAUCCGCCCGCUCAACGGGCGGACGUCCGGCGGAAACCAUAUGGCUUGGGACCAGAGGACCCGAGGGGUACGUCGGGGGUAGGAGUGAAAUCCCGAGAUCCUCGACGGACCGCCGGUGGCGAAAGCGCCUCGGGAAGAUGGAUCCGACGGUCAGGGAACGAAAGCUUGGGUCUCGAACCGGAUUAGAUACCCGGGUAGUCCAAGCUGUAAACGAUGCUCGCUAGGUGUGGCGUAGGCUACGAGCCUGCGCUGUGCCAAAGGGAAGCCACGAAGCGAGCCGCCUGGGAAGUACGUCUGCAAGGAUGAAACUUAAAGGAAUUGGCGGGGGAGCACUACAACGGGAGGAGCCUGCGGUUUAAUUGGACUCAACGCCGGACAUCUCACCGGUUCCGACUCUGGGAGUGAAGGUCAGCUUGACGAGCUUACUAGACCCAGAGAGAGGUGGUGCAUGGCCGCCGUCAGCUCGUACCGUGAGGCGUCCUGUUAAGUUAGGCAACGAGCGAGACCCGUGUCCGUAGUUGCCAGC